rnacentral:misc_RNA from 1 species
AAGAAAAGUAUUGUAGAUAUUUUUUUGGUUUUUAUUUUUUUAUUGGUGGGGAAUUAGAUUAUAUAAUAUAGAGUGGAUAUUUUUAAUAUAUUAUUUUUUAGUUAUUAUAAUUAAAUUUUUUAGUAUAUGGAUGGAGAAAUAGUGUUUGAGAGAAGUUAAAUUAUUUUUUGAGAUUAGUAUAGUUAUUAUAUAGUAAAGGUGUGAAUUUUAAUUUAU